GAUGAAGAACGUAGCGAAAUGCGAUAAGUAGUGUGAAUUGCAGAAUUCAGUGAAUCAUCGAAUCUUUGAACGCACAUUGCGCCCUUUGGUAUUCCUUAGGGCAUGCCUGUUCGAGCGUCAUUUAAACCUUCAAGCUCAGCUUGGUGUUGGGUGACUGUCCGCUUCACCGCGGACUCGCCUCAAAAUUAUUGGCGGCCGGUACAUUGGCUCUCGAGCGCAGCAGAAACGCGUAACUCGAGGUCCUCGUGCUGGCUCCCAGAAGCUAUCUUCGCAAUUUUGACCUCGGAUCAGGUAGGGAUACCCUCUGAACUUAAGCAUAUCAAUAAGCGGAGGA
rnacentral:misc_RNA from 1 species